UUGGAGGGCAAGUCUGGUGCCAGCAGCCGCGGUAAUUCCAGCUCCAAUAGCGUAUAUUAAAGUUGUUGCAGUUAAAAAGCUCGUAGUUGAAUUUCGGGGUCAAUAAGUUGGUCGUGCCAAUGGUAUGCACUGGCUUUAUUGAUUCCUACCUCUUGACGAACUGUGAUGCCAUUAAUUUGGUGUUGCAGGAAAUCAGGACUGUUACCUUGAAAAAAUUAGAGUGUUUAAAGCAGGCUUACGCUUGAAUACAUUAGCAUGGAAUAAUGAAAUAGGACGUUUGAACCUAUUUUGUUGGUUUCUAGGAUCGACGUAUGAUUAAUAGGGAUAGUUGGGGGCAUUAGUAUUCAAUUGUCAGAGGUGAAAUUCUUGGAUUUAUUGAAGACUAACUACUGCGAAAGCAUUUGCCAAGGAUGUUUUCAUUAAUCAAGAACGAAAGUUAGGGGAUCGAAGACGAUCAGAUACCGUCGUAGUCUUAACCAUAAACUAUGCCGACUAGGGAUCGGAUGAUGUUAAUUUUUUAAUGACUCAUUCGGCGCCUUACGGGAAACCAAAGUGUUUGGGUUC
rnacentral:rRNA from 1 species